CAUGCAAGUCGAACGGUAAGGCCCUUUCGGGGGUACACGAGUGGCGAACGGGUGAGUAACACGUGAGUAACCUGCCCACUUCUUCGGGAUAACGCUAGGAAACUGGUGCUAAUACCGGAUAUGAGCUUUUGCCGCAUGGUGGGGGUUGGAAAGUGUUUGUGGUGGUGGAUGGACUCGCGGCCUAUCAGCUUGUUGGUGAGGUAGUGGCUCACCAAGGCGGUGACGGGUAGCCGGCCUGAGAGGGUGACCGGCCACAUUGGGACUGAGAUACGGCCCAGACUCCUACGGG
rnacentral:rRNA from 1 species